UCGUGCCCCGAGUGACCCCGUCUGCUAAUGUAGUUCCUUGCUUUACUCGCACUGGGGAACGGGAGGCAGAGCCGUGCAACUCACAGGUGCCGAGCUCAGGACUCACUCCUGGGUCUGCCUGGGCUGGGCUGUGCUUGUUGCCCCGUGGCCAACGCAUGCACACCUUCCACCUGAAAGCCAGGAUCUUCAGGGCGCUCCCCGAGGAGGUCGUUGUCUGGCACAAUGAUUUGUCUCUUCCUGAAAAGGUGAUAGAGUUACACUGGAGAGAGCAGCAUCCAGGUGCGGCAGGGACAGGCCUGGGGCUCGCGGGCAGGGGCUCUGUGUCCUGCCGGGGUCCCGCGCUGCACCUGCUUGUCAGAGGCACUCAGUAAAUCUUUGCUGAUGAAGGAUGAGAGGACAGAGGACAUGAUGCUUGCUGCUGCAUUGCCUGCAGUCCUGGGAACCAACCCGUGUGCGGACAGGA
rnacentral:sRNA from 1 species